UGUUCUCUUCCGAUCUAUGAGGAUAAGCGCCUCUAAAUCUGAAGCCAUGGUCCUCAGCAGGAAACCAAUGGAUUGCCUACUCCGGGUAGGGAAUGAGGUCUUGCCCCAAGCGAAGGAGUUCAAGUACCUCAGGGUCUUGUUCAUAGUAAGGGGACAAUGAAAUGUGAAACUGGAC